rnacentral:tRNA from 1 species
GGAUUGUGGCUCAGCGGUAGAGUGCUUGCCUAGCAUGCAUAGGACCCUGGGUUUGAUCCUCAGCACCA